rnacentral:tRNA from 1 species
GGUAGCGUGCCGAGCGUNNCUAAGGCGCUGUNNUUAGGCACCAGUCAUUUCGAUGGCGUGGGUUCGAAUCCCACCGCUGCCA